rnacentral:rRNA from 1 species
AUGCGCCCCGUUCAUCAGGUGGCUGCGUCGUUCCAGCCGCCGGUGCCGGUGCUCCCGGAGAUCGACGCGUCGUCACCGGAGGCGCAAGCGGAGAUGCCGCGGGUGGUGAGGGAGAGAUUCCCAAACCGCUCCAGGUGGCCCGACAUCCUCCUAGAGAUCCUUCGAUUCGCGACAUUCGAAGAGCGUGCUCGCUUUGCGGGCGACGACGGAGGGAUGGACUACGAGUUCAUCUUCUGGGCCAUCCAGGAGGCGGAGUCGACAGAACCAAGGCAGGCGGCGCGGUGGGUGCGCUUCAAGACGAGGGCUCAACAUACGUCCCCCACCGGUGGUGCAGAUCACCAACAUCCCGCCGGAAUACCUGCCGCCGGGGACCGCCCUUCCGAGGGCCCCCUAAAGCACCAGCACCCCGGUGCGCGGGCCUUGCAGGGUGACCCCGACCUGCAAGCAAGGCGCAGGAGGAACAAGGUUGGAUGCAACCUUGAACCUCCGCCAUGGCCGGGUGACCGCGGGGAGAAACCUCAUCUUCCUGACAAGGGGCGCAAAUGGAAAAGUGUGAAAUGCAUUCUUGCAAAAGUAAGCUGCUAUUUACACCACUGGAAAGUUCUCUGCGACGAUGUGCAAGCAACUCUACUGCAACGGUGCAUUCUCCUUUUGGACAAACGGCGUGGGGAACUCCUUCGGAUCGCAUGGAGGUGA